rnacentral:rRNA from 1 species
UACGUAGGGGGCAAGCGUUGUCCGGAAUCAUUGGGCGUAAAGCGCGCGUAGGCGGCCCGGUAAGUCCGUUGUGAAAGUCAAAGGCUCAACCUUUGAAUGCCGAUGGAUACUGCCGGGCUCGAGUCCGGAAGAGGCGAGUGGAAUUCCUGGUGUAGCGGUGGAAUGCGCAGAUAUCAGGAGGAACACCAAUAGCGAAGGCAGCUCGCUGGGACGGUACUGACGCUGAGGCGCGAAAGCGUGGGGAGCGAACAGG